rnacentral:rRNA from 1 species
GAGGAACCCCAUCAAACUUGGAUUUUGUAAGUAGUUGCGAAUGAACACAAACUUGAUCACUUUGGCAAUCUGUGCACAUCAUUGUGUAACAAUUUGUAUAUGUAGGCACAGUGCUAUCAAAGCUGCAUGCAAGUGAUUUUUGAAAGGAUACAACAUGGGAUGUGAUAUUCAUGUGUGUGUGCCUGCUUUGUCCACAGCCUGUGCUGUAUGAAUCACAUUUCUUGCAACUGAAAUGCUAAUUGCAUGGUAAAGUUCAUGUGACAUAACACAAGCUUGAGAUUCAUGAUGUGCAAGUACCAUGAGGGAAAUGUGAAAAGGACUUUGAAAAGAGAAUUAAAGAAAGCCUGCAUUUGCUGACAAUAAAAGCAAGUGUAGAUGUUUAUGUAAUUGUUACUGCAUCAAUCAAUGCUCAUCAUGGUUACUGCAUGCUUUAUAUUACAGCUCAGAACACGAAGUGUGUGUAACAGCUCUGCUUUGAUUUUUCCCACAUGGGAUCAGUUGAAACUUUGUGAGAGCACUCUUCAGUUCCCUCACGUACCCACCAGCUUUGUCCACUCACGUGUUGGCACACAUGUAAUGAUGUUGUGUUUAUGCAAGAUACUUCUGUGCUCACCAACAUGUUGUGCAAAUCUUCA